rnacentral:tRNA from 1 species
GCGGCGGGUGCUGCGGGGGCGGGGGUGGCGUUCGCGUCGCCGAUGAUGGCGAGGACUGCGCCGACCUCGACGGUCUCGUCCUCGGCGACGCG